GACGUAGGGCGCGAGCGUUGUCCGGAUUUAUUGGGCGUAAAGAGCUCGUAGGCGGCUUGUCGCGUCGUUCGUGAAAACCCGGGGCUCAACUCCGGGCUUGCGGGCGAUACGGGCAGGCUAGAGUUCGGUAGGGGAGACUGGAAUUCCUGGUGUAGCGGUGAAAUGCGCAGAUAUCAGGAGGAACACCGGUGGCGAAGGCGGGUCUCUGGGCCGAUACUGACGCUGAGGAGCGAAAGCGUGGGGAGCGAACAGGA
rnacentral:rRNA from 1 species